UAAAGAGUCUAUUUCCAACUGAGUCCCAAAAGUCUCUGGUAAAGACGGCUGAACGGUCCGCAUUCGGGAAAUUAAGUAUAGUCCAUUCUAAAAGGUUUUUAAGCUCUUGCUUAGGUAAAGUACUGUUACUGCAGCGUAAAGAAUGCUUAAGUUCCUUAUAGAGAUCCCGAUCAGGGGCAGAGUGGGAUUGUCCCAUUUUUACACCAGUGUAGCUCACCUCGAUAUCGCAGGGGCAGGGUCCUCACUCAGAACUCCGACGUGGGGGGCUGGCCAGGCACUCCAGUCGGCGCUCAGGACUCUGCUUGAGGUCCCCCUCAGAGCUCCGGUUUCAGGCGUCGCUCAGGAACGUCUUUCCAUGCUCGGGGCCUCCAGACUCCACUCAGAGCUUCAGUGCGGGCAGUGCAGAGCAGUGCUCGCCUGUGCUCAGUGCACGUGGCGGGGUGCCACGGCGGGUUUCCUCAGAGAGCUCUGGGUAGCUGCCGCGCAGCAGCGGCCACCUAUGCUCGAGGAUUGCCAGGCAAAUUCCUCCAAGAGCUACAGGUACUCGCUACCUUGUAACGAAUUCCCGUGCUCGAGGAUUGCCUCGGCAAAGUUAUAGAGCUCCGGCUUCCACGUUGCUCAGCAACGAUACGCCGUGCUCACGACACCGAUUAGGAGGCUACAACUGGUUAUUUAGUUACCGUCCAUGGAGAAGUCUCCCACAGAAGGCAAGGCAUGAAUUUGGAGAAUGAAGAACUACCCACAGUAGGAGAGUAUCAGGUUCAAAAAUAUCUAAGGAACCUGAAGGUCCACAGGACCUGAUGGCAGGCAUUUGAAGAUCCUGAAAGAACUGGCAGAGAAAGUAGAAACAACCCCCAUUUUUAAAAGAGGAAACAACCCCCAUUUUUAAAAAGGAAAAUUAAAAGGAGCACCUCUCCUCUGAAGACAAGCUGAGAUAUUCACGGUUGUUAAGCCUGUAGAAGAGGCUCUCUGAAGACCUUACAGCACCUUCCAGUACCUAUAGAGGACUAAAGAGAGGUGCUGUCACAGAGCCACUGCCUCACAGCCAAUUAGGGACUCCUAGAGCUGUGAAAACAG